rnacentral:lncRNA from 10 species
GGAAAACCUAACAGGAAGCCAGCUAGCUGGGAGGUGGAGAGAUUUCGUUUGCAUCAUCCCAACCCCAGGAUUACAGAGAAGAGCAUAGAAAGAUAUCUUGGAGAUCACAGAUAAAUCGCCAGCACAGACAACAUCAUGUCCAGUUAGGAGGCCAUGGCAGUAGCCCAGGAGAGAGAAGAUGAUGGCCCAGACAUUUGGUCAGCUGCCCAAGAACAUGUCUCUGGAAAGUUGCAGGUGCGGC